rnacentral:ncRNA from 1 species
AUAAAUCCUAUGAAAAGGAAGAGUAAUCAUAUAGCAAUGUUAAAGAGAGCUGAAGGUGGUGAGAUUUCAGUACGGUAGUUAGUGAUGAAUGGGCCUUUGAGGAGCGAGAUGAAAUCUUUGAGAGUAGUUUAGCCGUAAGUCGCACGUUAUAGCGAAUAAGAUAUAUUUGUAUCUGAAAUGAGAGGCAUUUUAUGCAAUUUAGGUGGCAACGCGGAUAAUCUCCGUCCUAUUU